rnacentral:rRNA from 1 species
AUUGAACGCUGGCGGCAGGCUUAACACAUGCAAGUCGAACGAGUGGCGGACGGGUGAGUAAUGCUUGGGAAUCUAGCUUAUGGAGGGGGAUAACUACGGGAAACUGUAGCUAAUACCGCAUACCAUCGGAUGAGCCCAAGUGGGAUUAGGUAGUUGGUGGGGUAAAGGCUCACCAAGCGACGAUCUCUAGCUGGUCUGAGAGGACGACCAGCCACACUGGGACUGAGACACGGCCCAGACUCCUACGGGAGGCAGCAGUGGGGAAUAUUGGGCAAUGGGGGCAACCCUGAUGCAGCCAUGCCGCGUGUAUGAUGAAGGCCUUCGGGUUGUAAAGUUCUUUCGGUAGAGAGGCGUUAUCUGCAGAAGAAGCACCGGCUAACUCCGUGCCAGCAGCCGCGGUAAUUC